rnacentral:lncRNA from 1 species
CUACAUCUGUGAAGACUUAAGUAGUUCUCAUAAAUGGCCUUCCUAGGAUUAAAGGUAUCCAUGUAUUGGAAAGUACUUCUUUGACCAAUAUAUCAUAGGGAUGCUUGACUUAUAUGUCAGUUAACUGCAAUGUUAUCAUUGUUGGCUGAAACUCCCAAUUCUCCCAUCAUUUUUUACAUAGAUAAUGGCAUUAAAUUGAUGUGUUCUACUAAGUCAAACAUUUC